CGUAGUGUGUGUAUUGCGUGGCGCUAUCAUUGCCACGACGCAGCGCUUGUGCUAAACGACAUCCUACUUCCGGCUCCUCAGCUAAGCUAACCUUACGAGGAUUUGCCGGAGCUUUUCGUUAUUAAAUGGGGACGAAUGGAGGCGAACUUUACGUUUGAAGCGGUCAGCCGUUAAUAAAAUUUCCCGCGAAAUAACAGGCGAGGCUGCUGUGGCAGGCGAAUUUCUGCUGUACACUGUAUCUAAAAAUGGAUAACAUUCUGCCUUAUGGCACCGCUAUCAAUGUCUACCCCCUUGAAGCUCGCGUCCACGUCUGACUGGCCUGUCUGACCAUGACUUACUGUAUCUACUGCGUCACCUACUGAUGCUUCUAUCCUGAUUCCUGAUGAUGCUGCAACCGUGUAAUAUUUAUUAUUGUUAAUUAAUUAUUUAUUUCUUGUUUUACAAGAAACUAAAUCAUAUAUUUAAAAUAGACAAUCAAGGAGUUUAUUAAUUCAGAUUCACGUAAUGAUAAUUAAUCGCAGAAAU